AGAGAAGAAGCCAUGCCGUGCGUAAAUUCAAGCAACUGUGUGACAGCAGAACAGCCAGCACGAAAGCCGAGCUGUGGUCGGGAAAGACAGCUCCUGUCACGAAGGAACUUUUCGGAGAGCAGAGAAAUACAAUAGCGUCGGACACUUCAUCCGGCUGGCACAUUCGGCCAAGGGGUGUCAGUGCGAUGCCCAGUCUUUGCCAUUCGUCACUGAGCGCAUCGAUCAUCGGGGUCUGUGUCAGUGAUGGUAGCACGGCGUUACAGCGGAUGCCGUGCUGCGCCAGCUCUUGAGCGACCGACUUGGUCAGAGCCACGACGCCACCCUUGGAAGCUGUGUACGCCGCCAGGCCGUAGAGUCCGCAUUUGCCCAGGAUGCUGGAAACGUUUACGAUGACGCCCUCCGUCACACCACAGGAAAUCAUGGCCCGCGCCGCAGCUCUUGUCACCAGGAAAGUGCCCUACGAAAGACCGCAAACUGAACGAUAACCUAUCACCUUUCACUUCAAAUACUUGCAGCUGCAUCGUCAGGCAUGCAUUAAACAGAGCAUGUCGCUAUUUGGGGAAUACUUAAUGCGAAUAAUUGGCUAGAGUAGCAAAUAAACCCGCCCAGUGUUUGUCGGGAAUUGUGCUAAGUCCGAACUAAACACCGUUACAAUACAGAAGUCGAUCGACUUGGUGUCGAUUCUGUAAGACCA